rnacentral:rRNA from 1 species
GUCCCAGUUGACGCGGGCUGGAUCUCUCGGGGUUACAGCCUUGCUGAAUUAUUCACCCUUGUCUUUUGCGUACUUCUUGUUUCCUUGGUGGGUUCGCCCACCACUAGGACAAACAUAAACCUUUUGUAAUUGCAAUCAGCGUCAGUAACAAAUUAAUAAUUACAACUUUCAACAACGGAUCUCUUGGUUCUGGCAUCGAUGAAGAACGCAGCGAAAUGCGAUAAGUAGUGUGAAUUGCAGAAUUCAGUGAAUCAUCGAAUCUUUGAACGCACAUUGCGCCCUUUGGUAUUCCAAAGGGCAUGCCUGUUCGAGCGUCAUUUGUACCCUCAAGCUUUGCUUGGUGUUGGGCGUCUUGUCUCUAGCUUUGCUGGAGACUCGCCUUAAAGUAAUUGGCAGCCGGCCUACUGGUUUCGGAGCGCAGCACAAGUCGCACUCUCUAUCAGCAAAGGUCUAGCAUCCAUUAAGCCUUUUUUCAACUUUUGACCUCGGAUCAGGUAGGGAUACCCGCUGAACUUAAGCAUAUCAAAAGCCGGGAGGGAA